GAUGGAGCGACGCCGCGUGGGGGAUGAAUGGCUUCGGUCCGUAAACCCCUGUCAUCUGUGAACAAACUUUCCGGUUGAACAGGCCGGAAAUUGAUAGUAGCAGAAGAGGAAGGGACGGCUAACUCUGUGCCAGCAGCCGCGGUAAUACAGAGGUCCCAAGCGUUGUUCGGAUUCACUGGGCGUAAAGGGUGCGUAGGUGGCCAAGAAAGUUUGGUGUGAAAUCUCCGAGCUCAACUCGGAAACUGCACUGAAAACUACUUGACUAGAGGAUUGGAGGGGGGACUGGAAUUCUCGGUGUAGCGGUGAAAUGCGUAGAUAUCGAGAGGAACACCAGUGGCGAAGGCGAGUCCCUGGACAAUACCUGACACUGAGGCACGAAAGCUAGGGUAGCAAACAGGAUUAGAUACCCUGGUAGUCCUAGCUGUAAACGGUGCACGUUUGCUGUGGGCGGAUUCGACCCCGUCCGUGGCGAAGCUAACGCGUUAAACGUGCCGCCUGGGGAGUACGGUCGCAAGAUUA
rnacentral:rRNA from 1 species